rnacentral:rRNA from 1 species
UACGAAGGGGGCUAGCGUUGCUCGGAAUUACUGGGCGUAAAGGGCGCGUAGGCGGACAGUUUAGUCAGAGGUGAAAGCCCAGGGCUCAACCUUGGAAAUGCCUUUGAUACUGGCUGUCUUGAGUUCGGGAGAGGUGAGCGGAAUGCCGAGUGUAGAGGUGAAAUUCGUAGAUAUUCGGCGGAACACCAGUGGCGAAGGCGACUCACUGGCCCGAUACUGACGCUGAGGCGCGAAAGCGUGGGGAGCAAACAGG